UUCUAUUGUAGUCAUGCACACAACUCAGAAAUGCCAAACUGUGUGAGACAAUGUAAACUUUUUAAAAAUGUAAACUUUAUCAACAACAUAAGAAACAACAAAAAAUGUAAACUUUGACUCCCAAACAAAAUCUAUACGGGAAUGAAAACUCAAACAAAGUACCAAAGGAGACCCAUUAUUUAACAAAGUGAUUGUAGUCAUGCAGAGAACCCAGAAAUGUCAAACUGUAUGAGAUAAUAUAAACUUUUUAUCAUCUUCAAAAUGUGAUAUUUUAAUAAAUAAGUUUUCAGUGAUGAACAAUAAAAGGUUUG
rnacentral:lncRNA from 1 species